rnacentral:rRNA from 1 species
GGGGGCAACCCUGACGCAGCAAUGCCGCGUGAGUGAAGAAGGUCUUCGGAUCGUAAAGCUCUGUUCUUGGGGAAGAAAAAUGAACGGUCCCUAGGAGAAAGUCCCGGCUAACUACGUGCCAGCAGCCGCGGUAAUACGUAGGGGACAAGCGUUGUCCGGAUUUACUGGGCGUAAAGGGCGCGCAGGCGGUUUUUUAAGUCAGAUGUGAAAGGUUCCGGCUCAACCGGUGUCAUGCUUUUGAACUUCAUGGAUUUAAUGCUUGAAAAGANAGUGGAAUUUCCUAUGGUAGCGGGGAAUUGCUUAAAUUUUGGAAGAANCACCGGUGGCGAAGGCGGCUUGCUGACAGAAUACGAACCCUAAGGUGCGAAAGCGUGGGGAGCAACAGGGAUUAAAUACCCUGGUAGUCCACGCCGUAAACUAUGAGUGCUAGGUGUUGGGGAGACUCCCUGCCGCACCUAAGGCAAUAAGCACUCCGCCUGGGGAG